rnacentral:misc_RNA from 1 species
UCGUAACAAGGUUUCCGUAGGUGAACCUGCGGAAGGAUCAUUACCGAGUGAGGGCCCUUUGGGUCCAACCUCCCACCCGUGUUUAUUUUACCUUGUUGCUUCGGCGGGCCCGCCUUUACUGGCCGCCGGGGGGCUCACGCCCCCGGGCCCGCGCCCGCCGAAGACACCUCCGAACUCUGUCUGAAGAUUGAAGUCUGAGUGAAAAUAUAAAUUAUUUAAAACUUUCAACAACGGAUCUCUUGGUUCCGGCAUCGAUGAAGAACGCAGCGAAAUGCGAUACGUAAUGUGAAUUGCAAAUUCAGUGAAUCAUCGAGUCUUUGAACGCACAUUGCGCCCCCUGGUAUUCCGGGGGGCAUGCCUGUCCGAGCGUCAUUGCUGCCCUCAAGCACGGCUUGUGUGUUGGGCCCCGUCCUCCGAUUCCGGGGGACGGGCCCGAAAGGCAGCGGCGGCACCGCGUCCGGUCCUCGAGCGUAUGGGGCUUUGUCACCCGCUCUGUAGGCCCGGCCGGCGCUUGCCGAUCAACCCAAAUUUUUAUCCAGGUUGACCUCGGAUCAGGUAGGGAUACCCGCUGAACUUAAGCAUAUCAAUA